rnacentral:sRNA from 1 species
UUUAGUGCUACUAUGUUGAUGAGUUAUAUCAUCUGUAUUUAUUUAACUGUGUAUAUUUAUAAGGUUGGUUCAUAACAAGGAGCAUACAGCAGUUGUUUUCAUUUUAGUAUUGUGUUCUACAGAUUUGUCAUUUAUUCAUAUGCAAUUGAGUUUACUGCACUAUGUGCAGCUAAUUUUUGUUUACAUGUCCAUCUAGUAUGUGGAACAAUUUCCAUGUUUAUGCUUGGCUUUUUUUAUUUUUAAACUCGUUGACAAAUAUAUAGCAUUGUAGUGAAAGAUUACUAUAAUUAGUUGAUAUCAAGAGAAUGCAUUUAUCUUUGAUAUUAGUAUAAAAUAUCAAACUUUUAUAACACUCCCUUUCUGUAUUCAGUAGGUAGAUAAAUCAACCACCUCUUAUCAUAAAUGAAGUGCCAAGGAUGUAAAAUAAAUAAGAUGAAUAAUAUAGAUGAUUAUAUUUGUCAGAUUAAGACGUAACGGAUCAUCAUUUUUUACUCAAAAACUGGAAAUUUGAAUAACAGUUUGUCUUAGCUUUAUGCUAAAACACAAAGUUUUUCUCUAAAGUAAUCCUUAUGUUUCAAUAUUAAUUCUCUCCAUAUCUUUAUUUUUAUAUUCGUGAUGAAAUUAAGUUUAAAAAUUUAAAUUUUACUCCCAUACGUGUAUCAAUCAAUCUGAAUCAAAAAUCAAUUUAUAAUUAUAUAUCAGGACAUAAACUCAAAGAUUAAUCAAAUUAUUUCAGUAGGCUAUAUAAAUUUUUGUUUAAUGCACUCUGUAUGUAAAUCCUAGCUGUUGUUACUGGAAAGUUAUGAACUUUUCUAAAAGGUAAAUGACAUUGAUAAAGAGGAGGGACAUACUCAAAUUUAGGCCACCAGGUUCCUUUCUUGGUAUUUGAUAUUCAACAGUGAACUUUCUACAGCUUCUCCACGGCUACUUGUAGAUCUGAUGUUGCUAUUUAUUUUAAUGAAUAUUCUGUGUUAAGUUGCUCAUUCCCCUGUGACUUUUAAUAAAAUUUCUUUAAAAG